GAGUACAUUACACCAACACAGCAGAUUUCAUGAUUAUUAGAUUACACUGAUAUCGAAGGAACUAGACUCAGUUCCGUAAUAUCGCAUACUCGAACCGUCCUGACCGCGUAGCUCAGUUGGAAGAGCAUUGGGCUAGUAUUCCAAAGGUCGUAGGUUCGAAUCCCGCCGUGGCCGGGCAUAUUUUUCAAGCCUGCCCGGUGUGGAUAUACACUCAGAG